rnacentral:SRP_RNA from 1 species
UAUCUGGGUCUUACGCGACGAAAAUCCAUGAACCGUGUCAGGUCGGGAACGAAGCAGCACUAAGUGGAAUCUUUCGGGUGCCGUAAGGGUGCCUGGGUUGAGU